rnacentral:hammerhead_ribozyme from 1 species
AUCAAGCUGACGAGUCCCAAACAGGACGGAACGCGCGUCCUGGAU